rnacentral:rRNA from 1 species
AUUGAACGCUGGCGGCAUGCCUUACACAUGCAAGUCGAACGGCAGCACGGGUGCUUGCACCUGGUGGCGAGUGGCGAACGGGUGAGUAAUACAUCGGAACGUACCUUAUCGUGGGGGAUAACGCAGCGAAAGCUGUGCUAAUACCGCAUACGCCCUGAGGGGGAAAGCGGGGGAUCGAAAGACCUCGCGCGAUUAGAGCGGCCGAUGCCUGAUUAGCUUGUUGGUGGGUAAAGCCCACCAAGGCGACGAUCAGUAGCUGGUCUGAGAGGACGAUCAGCCACACUGGGACUGAGACACGGCCCAGACUCCUACGGGAGGCAGCAGUGGGGAAUUUUGGACAAUGGGCGCAAGCCUGAUCCAGCCAUGCCGCGUGCAGGAAGACGGUCCUAUGGAUUGUAAACUGCUUUGUAUGGGAAAAAUCAUCUUACGUGUAGGAUGUUGAUGGUACCAUGAGAAUAAGGAUCGGCUAACUU